CUCCAGACUCCUACGGGAGGCAGCAGUGGGGAAUAUUGCACAAUGGGGGAAACCCUGAUGCAGCAACGCCGCGUGAGUGAUGACGGCCUUCGGGUUGUAAAGCUCUGUCUUCAGGGACGAUAAUGACGGUACCUGACUAAGAAGCACCGGCUAAAUACGUGCCAGCAGCCGCGGUAAUACGUAUGGUGCAAGCGUUAUCCGGAUUUACUGGGCGUAAAGGGAGCGCAGGCGGCGCGCCAAGUCUGAUGUGAAACCCCGGGGCUCAACCCCGGGCAUGCAUUGGAAACUGGCGGGCUGGAGUGCCGGAGAGGUAAGCGGAAUUCCUAGUGUAGCGGUGAAAUGCGUAGAUAUUAGGAGGAACACCAGUGGCGAAGGCGGCUUACUGGACGGCAACUGACGCUGAGGCUCGAAAGCGUGGGUAUCGAACAGGAUUAGAUACCCCAGUA
rnacentral:rRNA from 1 species